rnacentral:rRNA from 1 species
GGACUACCGGGGUAUCUAAUCCUGUUUGCUACCCACGCUUUCGUGUCUCAGCGUCAGUAAUGGUCCAGAAAGCCGCCUUCACCGCAGGUGUUCCUCCUGAUAUCUACGCAUUUCACCGCUACACCAGGAAUUCCGCUUUCCUCUCCCACACUCAAGCACUCCAGUCUUUAGCGCACCCUCCCAGUUGAGCCGGGAGAUUUCACACCAAACUUAGAGCACCGCCUACCCACUCUUUACGCCCAGUAACUCCGAACAACGCUUGCUGCCUACGUAUUACCGCGGCUGCUGGCAC